GUCCAUUCAGAUUGGACUAUUUAUUCCAAAUAGCCAUAUCCGUGAGAUUAUCGUACAUAUAAAAACCUUGUCAUAUUAAGGCUUCAAGGGUUCAAUAUGUUACCAACUUCAAGGGAAAAUGUCUGCCAUUACCCAUCAUAUACUCUUAUUCCUGUGGUGGUAUAGAUUUUCUGUCAUUCAUCCCAUUCCAUCCACCUUGCAGAAACUGCCAUGGUAUUAUAUUGUUUAAUUUGUUCUUGUACUACACAUGUGUAAAAUACUUUCCACUGGACAGUAAGAAAUCACCAAUAAAAUCGAUCAAUCAGUUUAAAAGGGCAUACAAU
rnacentral:lncRNA from 1 species